rnacentral:rRNA from 1 species
UGAAAAAGAACCUGAAACCGUGUACGUACAAGCAGUGGGAGCACCCUUUUGGGUGUGACUGCGUACCUUUUGUAUAAUGGGUCAGCGACUUAUAUUCUGUAGCAAGGUUAACCGUAUAGGGGAGCCGCAGGGAAACCGAGUCUUAACCGGGCGUUAAGUUGCAGGGUAUAGACCCGAAACCCGGUGAUCUAGCCAUGGGCAGGUUGAAGGUUGGGUAACACUAACUGGAGGACCGAACCGACUAAUGUUGAAAAAUUAGCGGAUGACCUGUGGCU